rnacentral:rRNA from 1 species
UACGGGGGGGGGCAAGCGUUGUUCGGAAUUACUGGGCGUAAAGGGCUCGUAGGUGGCCAACUAAGUCAGACGUGAAAUCCCUCGGCUUAACCGGGGGAACUGCGUCUGAUACUGGAUGGCUUGAGGUUGGGAGAGGGAUGCGGAAUUCCAGGUGUAGCGGUGAAAUGCGUAGAUAUCUGGAGGAACACCGGUGGCGAAGGCGGCAUCCUGGACCAAUUCUGACGCGUGAGGAGCGAAAGCCAGGGGAGCAAACGGG